AUUUGAGUUUGAUCCUGGCUCAGAGUGAACGCUAGUAGUGUGCUUUAUACAUGCGAGUUAAAUAUUUUUUAUAAAAAUAUAGCGGACGGGUGAGUAAUUUAUAAGAAUUUACCUGCUACUCCAGAAUUAGAAUACUGGAUAUUUUAAAGGUUUAUACUAGUAGCAGAUACGCUUGUAAAAGAUUAGGUAGUAGGUAAGAUGAUAGCUUACCUAGCUUACGAUCUUUAGUUGAUUUGAAAGAGUGAUCAACCACACUGGGACUGAGACAAGGCCCAGGCCCUAUUUUGGGCCAGCAGUAAGGAAUAUUGGACAAUGGGCUAACGCCUGAUCCAGCAAUACUAUGUGAGGGAUGACAGCUUAUUUUGGUUGUAAACCUCUUUUAUUAGGGAAGAUAAUGACUUAACUAAAAAAAAAGUCCCGGCUAACUUCGUGCCAGCAGCCGCGGUAAUACGGAGGGGGCAAGCGUUAUUCAGUUUAAUUUGGUGUAAAGGGUUCGUAGGUUGUAUUUAGGUUGUUUAAAUUAAAAUCAAGAGACUUAACCUCUUUAAUAUUUUUAAAAACACUUUUACUAGAGUAUAAAAAAAGAUUAUAGAAUUUUAAGGGUAGAGAUAAAAUUCUAAGAUCCUUAAAGGAACACCAAAAGCGAAAGCAAUAGUCUUGUUUAUUACUGACACUGAGGAACGAAAGGAUAGGGAGCAAACAGGAUUAGUGACCCUGGUAGUCUAUCCCGUAAACUAUGAGUGCUGAUAUUUAGAAUUUAAAAUUUUGGGUAUUAAGUUAACACGUUAAGCACUCCACCUGAGGAGUAUAGUCGCAAGGCUGGAACUCAAAGGAAUUGACGGGGGCCUAUACAAGUGGUGGAGCAUGUGGUUUAAUGCGAUAAUACGCGCGAAAUCUUACCAGUCUUUGAUUUUAAAAAAUAUUCAACAAGUAGUUUUUGUUAUAAUGUUUUUUUUACAGGUGUUGCAUGGCUGUCGUCAGCUCGUGUUGUGAAAUGUU
rnacentral:rRNA from 1 species